CGGGUGAGUAACACGUGGAUAACCUACCUAUAAGACUGGGAUAACUUCGGGAAACCGGAGCUAAUACCGGAUAAUAUUUUGAACCGCAUGGUUCAAAAGUGAAAGACGGUCUUGCUGUCACUUAUAGAUGGAUCCGCGCUGCAUUAGCUAGUUGGUAAGGUAACGGCUUACCAAGGCAACGAUGCAUAGCCGACCUGAGAGGGUGAUGGCCACACUGGAACUGAGACACGGUCCAG
rnacentral:rRNA from 1 species